rnacentral:lncRNA from 1 species
AAACCUCUUGAUUUGAGUAGCGUUGGAUAUUAUGGUGAUAAAUCCGGUUUAUAUCUGAUCAUUGCUUAAUUGACACUUGGAAUCCGAAGGUGAUGGAGAUAUAUUAGGGCGAGCCUGCUGGUGGUUAGCGUUACAUUCUUUUUAGUAGAUCUAUUUUGUGCGCCUUUUUCCUGUUCAUCUUUGAGCCACCGCCCUUUCUAGUGCCGCCGCCGCCAUUGUUGCUUU